AGGUAUUCCGCAAAGCAUUUGUGAAGCCACAACAUGCACAACCUCGAGGUGGAUGGGCUACAACAGCAGUAGACCCCACCGGGUACUACUUAUCUCCACUACAAAUAGGAAAAAGAGGCUACAAUUUGCAUGAGCUCACCAAAAUUGUUGAAAAAUGUUGCCUGGUCUGAUGAGUCUCUGUUGAGACAUUCAGAUGGUAGAGUCAGAAUUUGGCGUAAACAGAAUGAGAACAUGGAUUCAUCAUGCCUUGUUACCACUGUGCAGGCUGGUCGUGUAAUGGUGUGGGGGAUGUUUUUUGGCACACUUUAGGCCCCUUAGUGCCAAUUGGGCAUCGUUUAAAUGCCACGGCCUACCUGAGCAUAGUUUCUGACCAUGUCCAUCCCUUUAUGACCACCAUGUACUCAUCCUCUGAUGGCUACUUCCAGCAGGAUAAUGCACCAUGUCACAAAGCUCGAAUCAUUUCAAAUUGUUUUCUUGAACAUGACAAUGAGUUCACUGUACUAAAAUGUCCCACACAGUCACCAGAUCUCAACCCAAUAGAGCAUCUUUGGGAUGUGGUGGAUGGGAGCCUCGUGCCCUGGAUGUGCAUCCCACAAAUCUCCAUCAACUGCAAGAUGCUAUGCUAUCAAUAUAGGACAACAUUUCUAAAGAAUGCUUUCAGCACCUUGUUGAAUCAAUGCCACAUAGUAUUAAGGCAGUUCUGAAGGCGAAAGAGGGUCAAACACAGUAUUACUAUGGUGUUCCUAAUAAUCCUUUAGGUGAUUGUAUUAAGUGCGUUGUUUGUAGCUCUAGCAUGAUAAGCGUUGCAUUUACCAUGCUUUUACCACAGUAACUAUAGAUCUACUGUGUUAUUUGUAGUUAAAACAAUACGCAUUGAAGUUACCAUGCUUUUUAAGAUAAAGCAUGUAUGUUGCAUUGUUGCUUUGUUUUAAUGCCAUCAAAACUUGAAUUUCUUACACUCUGCGGCUCCAGAGUGCGAGUGAAAUGAUUAUAAUAGCAUCAGGCAGAGGAAGCAACCGACAAACAGAUGGAAAAGAGAGAAGACAAACUUCACCGAAAGAUUUAGGAGGAAAAGGCCAAAUUCGUUGUGACUAUAGAUGAGUAUAACAGGGCAGCACCUGAAAAACUGCUGUCAGCUGAUACAAUUCUGGCAUCUGGGAGUUACGCAUGGCCAUGGGACGGUCGUCACCAAUCCUGGUCAUGGGGGGUCUCUGCAGAUUUUAAAUGAAACCUCUGCUAAUUAGCCAUGACUGCUGCUUCCUACUGGUACAGACCAGGAGUGUGGGCUCUCUGACAGUGGAGUUCUAGGACUUCACUUCCUGCUAAAGAAAAGACAAUACUACAUCAUCUCCUCUGUUUGCCAGUUGUACUGUACUGUGCUUGACAACUUUUCUGAGCUGUUUGGGAACAUAAAAGAUGAUGAUUACUUUAGGGAAAUUCACAUGGAUGAGGAGGAUAUCCACUAUUGUGGUGGUGGUGGUGGUGGUGAUGAUGAUGAUGAUGAUGAUGAGGAUGAGUAUGAAAAGUCAUUGUUUCCUCAGUCAGUAUAAAGUGUACACUCAAGUCAGAUUUUAAAGACAAGGUCAAGGUUAAACCAGGAUUAUGCCUUAGCUAAAAUUGGACAUUUACACUACUUUUAAAAAUGUGACUAACAAAUAAACUUACUGAUGUGCAUCUUGAGACAAAAUUAUGGCACUGAUAUAUUUAAAGAUAUGUCAGUAAAAGUUGUUUUUUUGUUAAGACAGCUCAAAUAUACAUUUUAGUUUGGGACUAGGCUUAGGCCUUGUGAUCGAUUGAAGUUGCAAUUCACUAGUGUAGUGGAUGAAAACUUGUUUAGAAUGAUAAAGUUGUCUCCCAAUAGUUAAAUAGUUCAUCUUAUUUCCCCACGUCCCAAGUUACCUUAUGUCAUCUAUGUGAUUAUAUCUGUAUUUUAUCUUGUGUAUAUUACUGAAACUGCCAGUUGACCUUUUUUCCUUUAAUAUUAAGCAUCACAUACGGUAGGCUAUAUAGACUCCACCACAUAAAUAUAGACUGUCUUUUUUAGUUUCAGUUAAUUAAACAAGACUGUAUGCUGUGAUGUUUAUCUUAGUAAUGUUUUACAUUGUUUACAUUUACAUUACAAAGGUGUUGUGAAAAUAUGUAAUUUUAUAUUGUUUGUCCAAUCAUUUUUAUAUUAGAUAUUGUAAUACGUUGCUGAUAUUAGUGUUAUUAUUACUGAUGUAACAUUUAUGACUUUUUGGACAGUGUUGUAAAAUGCCUUCAUUGUUAUUCAUAAAGUGACAAAUAAAAUUGACCAAAUUCACGUGAAAACAACUUCCUGUUUUUUAUCAUAAAUUGUACUAUUAUGAUAUGUAUAUUUAAUGUUACAAACUUCAUUGCUCUAGAAUAAAAAUCUGUAAUUAAAGUA